GGUUAAGCGACUAAGCGUACACGGUGGAUGCCCGGCAGUCAGAGGCGAUGAAGGACGUGCUAAUCUGCGAAAAGCGCCGGCGAGGUGAUAUGAACCUUUGACCCGGCGAUGUCCGAAUGGGGAAACCCAGUGCAAUCCGUUGCACUAUCGUUUGAUGAAUACAUAGUCAAACGAGGCGAACCGGGGGAACUGAAACAUCUAAGUACCCCGAGGAAAAGAAAUCAACCGAGAUUCCCCCAGUAGCGGCGAGCGAACGGGGAGCAGCCCAGAGCCUGAAUCAGCUUGUGUGUUAGUGGAACGGUCUGGAAAGUCCGGCGAUACAGGGUGACAGCCCCGUACACGAAAGCACACAGGCUGUGAGCUCGAUGAGUAGGGCGGGACACGUGGUAUCCUGUCUGAAUAUGGGGGGACCAUCCUCCAAGGCUAAAUACUCCUGACUGACCGAUAGUGAACCAGUACCGUGAGGGAAAGGCGAAAAGAACCCCGGCGAGGGGAGUGAAAAAGAACCUGAAACCGUGUACGUACAAGCAGUGGGAGCCUCUUAAUGGGGUGACUGCGUACCUUUUGUAUAAUGGGUCAGCGACUUAUAUUCUGUAGCAAGGUUAACCGAAUAGGGGAGCCGAAGGGAAACCGAGUCUUAACUGGGCGUUAAGUUGCAGGGUAUAGACCCGAAACCCGGUGAUCUAGCCAUGGGCAGGUUGAAGGUUGGGUAACACUAACUGGAGGACCGAACCGACUAAUGUUGAAAAAUUAGCGGAUGACUUGUGGCUGGGGGUGAAAGGCCAAUCAAACCGGGAGAUAGCUGGUUCUCCCCGAAAGCUAUUUAGGUAGCGCCUCGUGAAUUCAUCUCCGGGGGUAGAGCACUGUUUCGGCUAGGGGGCCAUCCCGGCUUACCAACCCGAUGCAAACUACGAAUACCGGAGAAUGUUAUCACGGGAGACACACGGCGGGUGCUAACGUCCGUCGUGAAGAGGGAAACAACCCAGACCGCCAGCUAAGGUCCCAAAGUCAUGGUUAAGUGGGAAACGAUGUGGGAAGGCACAGACAGCCGAGGAUGUUGGCUUAGAAGCAGCCAUCAUUUAAAGAAAGCGUAAUAGCUCACUGGUCGAGUCGGCCUGCGCGGAAGAUGUAACGGGGCUAAACCAUGCACCGAAGCUGCGGCAGCGACACUAAGUGUUGUUGGGUAGGGGAGCGUUCUGUAAGCCUGCGAAGGUGUGCUGUGAGGCAUGCUGGAGGUAUCAGAAGUGCGAAUGCUGACAUAAGUAACGAUAAAGCGGGUGAAAAGCCCGCUCGCCGGAAGACCAAGGGUUCCUGUCCAACGUUAAUCGGGGCAGGGUGAGUCGACCCCUAAGGCGAGGCCGAAAGGCGUAGUCGAUGGGAAACAGGUUAAUAUUCCUGUACUUGGUGUUACUGCGAAGGGGGGACGGAGAAGGCUAUGUUAGCCGGGCGACGGUUGUCCCGGUUUAAGCAUGUAGGCUGGUUAUCCGAGCAAAUCCGGAUAAUCAAGGCUGAGGUGUGAUGACGAGUCACUACGGUGAUGAAGUAACAAAUGCCCUGCUUCCGGUGAAAAGCCUCUAAGCAUCAGGUAACACGAAAUCGUACCCCAAACCGACACAGGUGGUCAGGUAGAGAAUACCAAGGCGCUUGAGAGAACUCGGGUGAAGGAACUAGGCAAAAUGGUGCCGUAACUUCGGGAGAAGGCACGCUGAUAUGUAGGUGAAGCCCCUGCGGGUGGAGCUGAAAUCAGUCGAAGAUACCAGCUGGCUGCAACUGUUUAUUAAAAACACAGCACUGUGCAAACACGAAAGUGGACGUAUACGGUGUGACGCCUGCCCGGUGCCGGAAGGUUAAUUGAUGGGGUUAUCCGUAAGGAGAAGCUCUUGAUCGAAGCCCCGGUAAACGGCGGCCGUAACUAUAACGGUCCUAAGGUAGCGAAAUUCCUUGUCGGGUAAGUUCCGACCUGCACGAAUGGCGUAAUGAUGGCCGGUGCUGUCUCCACCCGAGACUCAGUGAAAUUGAACUCGCUGUGAAGAUGCAGUGUACCCGCGGCAAGACGGAAAGACCCCGUGAACCUUUACUAUAGCUUGACACUGAACAUUGAGCCUUGAUGUGUAGGAUAGGUGGGAGGCUUUGAAGCGUGGACGCCAGUCUGCGUGGAGCCAACCUUGAAAUACCACCCUUUAAUGUUUGAUGUUCUAACGUGGACCCGUAAUCCGGGUUGCGGACAGUGUCUGGUGGGUAGUUUGACUGGGGCGGUCUCCUCCCAAAGAGUAACGGAGGAGCACGAAGGUUGGCUAAUCCUCGGUCGGACAUCAGGAGGUUAGUGCAAUGGCAUAAGCCAGCUUGACUGCGAGCGUGACGGCGCGAGCAGGUGCGAAAGCAGGUCAUAGUGAUCCGGUGGUUCUGAAUGGAAGGGCCAUCGCUCAACGGAUAAAAGGUACUCCGGGGAUAACAGGCUGAUACCGCCCAAGAGUUCAUAUCGACGGCGGUGUUUGGCACCUCGAUGUCGGCUCAUCACAUCCGGGGCUGAAGUAGGUCCCAAGGGUAUGGCUGUUCGCCAUUUAAAGUGGUACGCGAGCUGGGUUUAGAACGUCGUGAGACAGUUCGGUCCCUAUCUGCCGUGGGCGCUGGAGAAUUGAGGGGGGCUGCUCCUAGUACGAGAGGACCGGAGUGGACGCAUCACUGGUGUUCGGGUUGUCAUGCCAAUGGCACUGCCCGGUAGCUACAUGCGGAAGAGAUAAGUGCUGAAAGCAUCUAAGCACGAAACUUGCCCCGAGAUGAGUUCUCCCUGGACUUUAAGUCCACUAAAGGAACGUUGAAGACGACGACGUUGAUAGGCCGGGUGUGUAAGCGCAGCGAUGCGUUGAGCUAACCGGUACUAAUGAACCGUGAGGCUUAACCUU
rfam:Kluyvera intestini strain GT-16 tig00000000, whole genome shotgun sequence.